GACGAACGCUGGCGGCGUGCCUAAUACAUGCAAGUAGAACGCUGAAGAGAGGAGCUUGCUCUUCUUGGAUGAGUUGCGAACGGGUGAGUAACGCGUAGGUAACCUGCCUUGUAGCGGGGGAUAACUAUUGGAAACGAUAGCUAAUACCGCAUAACAAUGGAUGACACAUGUCAUUUAUUUGAAAGGGGCAAAUGCUCCACUACAAGAUGGACCUGCGUUGUAUUAGCUAGUAGGUGAGGUAACGGCUCACCUAGGCGACGAUACAUAGCCGACCUGAGAGGGUGAUCGGCCACACUGGGACUGAGACACGGCCCAGACUCCUACGGGAGGCAGCAGUAGGGAAUCUUCGGCAAUGGGGGCAACCCUGACCGAGCAACGCCGCGUGAGUGAAGAAGGUUUUCGGAUCGUAAAGCUCUGUUGUAAGUCAAGAACGAGUGUGAGAGUGGAAAGUUCACACUGUGACGGUAGCUUACCAGAAAGGGACGGCUAACUACGUGCCAGCAGCCGCGGUAAUACGUAGGUCCCGAGCGUUGUCCGGAUUUAUUGGGCGUAAAGCGAGCGCAGGCGGUUUGAUAAGUCUGAAGUUAAAGGCUGUGGCUCAACCAUAGUUCGCUUUGGAAACUGUCAAACUUGAGUGCAGAAGGGGAGAGUGGAAUUCCAUGUGUAGCGGUGAAAUGCGUAGAUAUAUGGAGGAACACCGGUGGCGAAAGCGGCUCUCUGGUCUGUAACUGACGCUGAGGCUCGAAAGCGUGGGGAGCGAACAGGAUUAGAUACCCUGGUAGUCCACGCCGUAAACGAUGAGUGCUAGGUGUUGGAUCCUUUCCGGGAUUCAGUGCCGCAGCUAACGCAUUAAGCACUCCGCCUGGGGAGUACGACCGCAAGGUUGAAACUCAAAGGAAUUGACGGGGGCCCGCACAAGCGGUGGAGCAUGUGGUUUAAUUCGAAGCAACGCGAAGAACCUUACCAGGUCUUGACAUCCCGAUGCUAUUUCUAGAGAUAGAAAGUUACUUCGGUACAUCGGUGACAGGUGGUGCAUGGUUGUCGUCAGCUCGUGUCGUGAGAUGUUGGGUUAAGUCCCGCAACGAGCGCAACCCCUAUUGUUAGUUGCCAUCAUUCAGUUGGGCACUCUAGCGAGACUGCCGGUAAUAAACCGGAGGAAGGUGGGGAUGACGUCAAAUCAUCAUGCCCCUUAUGACCUGGGCUACACACGUGCUACAAUGGUUGGUACAACGAGUUGCGAGUCGGUGACGGCAAGCUAAUCUCUUAAAGCCAAUCUCAGUUCGGAUUGUAGGCUGCAACUCGCCUACAUGAAGUCGGAAUCGCUAGUAAUCGCGGAUCAGCACGCCGCGGUGAAUACGUUCCCGGGCCUUGUACACACCGCCCGUCACGCCACGAGAGUUUGUAACACCCGAAGUCGGUGAGGUAACCUUUUGGAGCCAGCCGCCUAAGGUGG
rnacentral:rRNA from 1 species